rnacentral:rRNA from 1 species
UACGGAGGGUGCAAGCGUUAUCCGGAUUCACUGGGUUUAAAGGGUGCGUAGGUGGGUCUGAAAGUCAGUGGUGAAAUCUUCGGGCUUAACCUGGAAACUGCCAUUGAUACUUCAGGUCUUGAAUUUUCUGGAGGUAAGCGGAAUAUGUCAUGUAGCGGUGAAAUGCUUAGAUAUGACAUAGAACACCAAUUGCGAAGGCAGCUUACUACACAGUUAUUGACACUGAGGCACGAAAGCGUGGGGAUCAAACAGG